GACGCUUGCCCGGGCUCGGUCGGAGGGCGGGUGCGGGUCCCCGCGUGUCACGCUCCAGCUCGAGAGGACAAGGAGGGCAAGAGUGAUCACUGACUCGGUGCCUCGGAUGGCGGAGCUCCUGUGUUGUUCCUUACGCGUGACAUCUAUUUCAUCUCAAGGUGAUCCCAUAAAGUGGAUACCGUUCUUAGCCCUAUUUUACAAUCUGCUCAAGACGGGGUGAGGCCUGGAAGUGAGGCGCGCAGAGAUGGGACGUACAACACAAAGUCUGGAGAGGGCGCCUCCAGAUCAGCCUCAAAACGGGCCAGGUCUGUGUCCAGUCGCCGAAUGUGUUUGUCCACCUGGGUGGGAAGGAAGGAGAAGGAAGAGCUACAGGGCUGGUUCCAGUUAAAGAAAACAGGCUGAGGCACAUUCUAUGGAUCUCCCAGACCCAAAACAGAUCCCAGCACGGCUGAAGGAGGGGGUGUAGGACCCCAAGGAAUGGACGGGGGACAGGCGGGGGCCGUGAGCAGGGCCAUACCAUCUCAUAGGUCUGCAUGGCAAGCUGCACCUUGUCGUCACCGAAUCCCUUGCACUUGCCAUAGGCUUCCUGGAUCUGUCUGAGAAGGGCCAGUUUCUCCUCGGAGCUCAGGCUGCGGGCGCUACUCAUAUACUCAGUGGCCAACUUGUCGAUUUCAGCCUUCAGGUCUACAACAAAGACAGAGGCCUGGUCACAAUGGCCCCUGAGUGGCUAGGUGGAACACACUUCUUGCUCUUGCUCUUUGGACCUUUUCCAUUGACCAUCAUAACCUUCGAAUUAAAACGUACUGAACGUUCCUAGGUACUGUGCCACGUACUCAAGUAAUGCAACAUGUUCACAAUAUUUGUUUCAAAGGUCCCUUCGGGUGCUGAAAACAUUGCUACCAUAGUUGGAACUAAAUUUAUUGAACCAUAAUGAGGGAUUCUUGGCAGCCGGCACUAAUACGAAGUGUGUUUUUGUCACUCUCUGAAGAUAGCUUCUUUGCGAGGCUUGCUGCCUCUUGAACCAUGAACUUUGUCUCAAAAGCCAUCUGGUUUCUCGUCUCGAAAACACCCCACGACAGCUCUGAGUGCUACAAACCAGGCUGGGUCAUCUGCUGCUGCUGGCUUCCAGAUAUUGCUCCAAACGUUUCUGCAAGGCGGGUGACGUCCCAAGACACUGAGACUUUAGAUGCCCACUGCCCCAAAUUUGGUAGUGCUCACAAAAAAUGUCGAUGGAGAAAAAAGUAUGACUGCAACACGGGGCAGCAAUAGGUAACAGGGAAGACCUGUGUGCACACUAGGUUUACGCCCCGCUUCAUUCGAGGCUCUUGGAGGAAGUUGGAAAAGCAUGGAUGUAGUUCAGUAAUCUCCAACUGGUCUUUCUGUGCAUGAACUCGAGAGCUGGAACUGUAUUACAAAGCAAAAAGCUGGUGCUCAGCAUUCAGCAGGGAGUUCUCAGGGGCCUACGUCCAGGAUUUUAUUUUAUUUUUUUUGGUACGCGGGCCUCUCA